UCUGGUGAUUAUAGCUAGGAGGUCACACCUCUUCCCAUUCCGAACAGAGAAGUUAAGCUCCUAUACGCCGAUGAUACUGCACGCGCUGGUGUGUGGGAAAGUAGGUAGUUGCCAGGA
rnacentral:rRNA from 1 species